rnacentral:rRNA from 1 species
UACCAUGCAGUCGAGCGGCAGCACGGGGAGCUUGCUCCCUGGUGGCGAGCGGCGGACGGGUGAGUAAUGCAUAGGAAUCUGCCCGGUAGUGGGGGAUAACGUGGGGAAACCCACGCUAAUACCGCAUACGUCCUACGGGAGAAAGCAGGGGAUCUUCGGACCUUGCGCUAUCGGAUGAGCCUAUGUCGGAUUAGCUAGUUGGUAAGGUAACGGCUUACCAAGGCGACGAUCCGUAGCUGGUCAGAGAGGAUGAUCAGCCACACUGGGACUGAGACACGGCCCAGACUCCUACGGGAGGCAGCAGUGGGGAAUAUUGGACAAUGGGCGAAAGCCUGAUCCAGCCAUGCCGCGUGUGUGAAGAAGGCUUUCGGGUUGUAAAGCACUUUCAGCGAGGAAGAAAGCCUCUGGGCUAAUACUUCAGAGGAAGGACAUCACUCGCAGAAGAAGCACCGGCUAACUCCGUGCCAGCAGCCGCGGUAA